UGAUCUUCACGUAUCAAACAAAGUGCAUAAGACAUAUUACAUAUAUUAAUCAAAGAUGGAGGAAACCAUACGUGAAAUAUGUCUUAGCACAGUAACCAAUCACAGUUGACAAAAUGGCAAAAAUGACCCAGAGAUCAGCUUUAGGCAUUUGAAGAGAACUAAACAAAGUAACCUGUGAAUAAAGGCACAAUAAUAAUG